AAAGCGUGGGGAGCAAACAGGAUUAGAUACCCUGGUAGUCCACGCUGUAAACGAUGAUGAUUAGCUGAUAGAGAGGUCUAUCGGCGCAGCUAACGCAUUAAAUCAUCCGCCUGAGUAGUAUGCUCGCAAGAGUGAAACUUAAAGGAAUUGACGGGGAUCCGCACAAGCGGUGGAGCAUGUGGUUUAAUUUGAAGAUACGCGUAGAACCUUACCCACUCUUGACAUCUUCUGCAAAGCUAUAGAGAUAUAGCAGAGGUUAACAGAAUGACAGAUGGUGCA
rnacentral:rRNA from 1 species